UACGGAAGGGGCAAGUGUUACUCGUCUUGACUGGGCGUAAAGGGUACGUAGACGGUUUAUUAAGUUCUAAGUUAAAUAAUUAGUCAGCUUUUAAUACUGGUAAACUAGAGUAAAAUAAAAGAUAGUGGAACUUUUAAUGUAGAGAUGAAAUGCGUAAAUAUUAGAGGGAAGAUCAAAGGCGAAGGCAGCUUUCUGGAUUUUACUGACGUUGAGGUACGAAGGCAUAGGUAUCGAACAGG
rnacentral:rRNA from 1 species